GAUGAACGCUGGCGGCGUGCCUAAUACAUGCAAGUCGAGCGAACAGACGAGGAGCUUGCUCCUUGGACGUUAGCGGAGGACGGGUGAGUAACACGUGGAUAACCUACCUAUAAGACUGGGAAAACUACGGGAAACCGGAGCUAAUACCGGAGAAUAUAUUGAACCGCAUGGUUCAAUAGUGAAAGACGGUGUUGCGGGCAGUUAUAGAUGGAUCCCCGCCGCAUUAGAUAGUUGGGGAGGUAACGGGUUACCAAGGGGACGAUGGGUAGGCGAAGUGAGAGGGGGAUAGCCCACCUGAGAAGUGAAACAGGGACAAGACUCCUAAGAGAGGCCGCAGUAGGGAAUCGUACGCAGCAGGGGAGAACCUGACAGAGCAGGGGGGCGCCAGUGGCGAAGAUCUCGGGAGCGUAAAAAUCGGUUACUGGGGAAGAACAAAUGUGGAAGUAACUAAGCACGUAUUGACGGUACCUGAUAAGAAAGCAACGGCUAACUACGUG
rnacentral:rRNA from 1 species